ACGCAGCUCGGAUCCCGCUUUGCUGUGGCUGGUAAUAUAGGCUGACAGCUGUAGCUCUGAUUUGACCCCUAGCCUGGGACAUCCCAUGUGCUGCACCUGAGGCCCUAAAAAAACAAACAAAACCCACCAGGAGGCCAACCCCAUCUCUGUUGAAACUACAGGCUAGGGAUCGAAUCGGAGCUACAGCUGCCGGCCUACACCACAGCCACAGCAAUGCCAGAUCUGAGCAGCAUAUAUGUGAACUACACCACAGCUCACGGCAACUCCAGAUCCCGGACCCACUGACAAGGCCAGGGAUCAAACCUGCAUCCUCAUGGAUACUGUUCAAAUUCGUUUCCACUGCACCACCACAGGAACUCCCUCAAUAUUUUAUUCUGUCCCAAUGCCUCAUUUAGAUGCAGCUGGAUCCUCCUAAGAUAAAUCAGGGCCAACACUUCAUGGCCCACACCGGGAGCCAGCACUGUUGUGGACUGUGGCGCAGGUCCAAUCACUGUCCAAAUGUCUACACACCAGGAUCUGGGGGCUCCGUGGCUGGGAACUUUCUCAGCUCCAACAGCUGGGGAGCAGCAGAGUGGGGUGCACUAGCCUUCUGCCUCCAGAGUCUGGCUCUGCACCACCAGCACACUGCCUCCCACCACUCAUCUAGGAUAAAGUAGCAUUUGUUGAGCACCUACUGUGUUCCAAGCAGGAUCGAGGCACACAUCACUAAAAUCCUGGCCAGAUUCCUCUCUCCCCAGGAAGGUGAGAAGGGGGAGAUGGAGAGGACAGGCGUAGGCUUUUGCCCUCCUCAGCUGACUCUGUAGGGGUAGAGCUGAUAGGAAAGGGGCCAGUGGGCGGGGCCAGGCCGGGUGUGGCAGGAGGAGGGUGGAGGUGCAAAGCCCAGGGCAGCCUCAGGCCCUCCCAGUCCAGGUGCAACCACCGCUGCGGGCUGACAACCCAGAACACAUCCCAUCUGCUCAGCAUGGCCACCGGGGAUGCUGGCUGAGUGCCCGUCCCAGGAGAGCCUGCCAGCCUGGGCACCUGCUUUCCCAGGCUCACCACACAGGUAGGCACAGCCCAGGUGUCUGGCUGUUUUGGCUUCAGGGUCACGGCCUCCGCAGCUAAGCCCUCAUGGGACACACAGGAACUCAGGUUUGGGUGGUAGCGUCCAAAAGCCAAUUAAUACAGGGCUUGAGGGCAAGUCUGUCUGACAGUGGUUUGGCCAAACUUUCAAUCCCUUGUGAGAUGGAAGAUGCGGGUUGUGAGCUGUGACUGCAGCUCAGGGCCAGCUGCUGCCAGUAGGGCCAGGCCCCCCAGGUGGCCCUUCCUAUGGCACGCAGUGGAGGUAUAUCUAGAGCAGGGGGCCUUUCAGGCAGCCGUUCCUCCUCUGCAGGUUCCCCCAGACCCACUUUGCAGGUGGGCCUUAAAAAGAAAAAGAUUAUUUGAGAUGACCUUCGUGAAAGCAGCCAGCACAUGGUAGGUACUCAAUAAAUGCUUGUCCUUUCCUAUUUUAUGCCAGGUGCCUCUCUCUCCAUGGAAGGGGGUGGGCAGGGAUGCCCCGCUGCUUGGUGGAGUUUGGAGGAGAAGGUGGGGGGUCAUGGGUGGAGGAGGGGCGGGAAUGACUGGGGGGCACCUCGGGGUGCUGUGUGCAACCUGGGGAGCAGCUGGGGGUGAGGCUGGCGGCUUGGGCCUGGGCCUGGCCGAGAGCCUGGACUUCGAGGGAGGUCACCAAAGGUGUGUGUUAGGUUUGCCAAGGGAGGAACGUGCAAGGCCUAGUUGGUAAAGCAAGAGAGAUUUUCUUAAGGCAUCAGAGGGGCCCAGGCUGAGCUCAUGAUGGUGCCAGCCCUGACUGUGAGGAGGUGCUAAGCUUAUAAAGAAUCUGUGGCUGGAGUUGAUGGUGGAAACGUGUGGCAGGAAUGACGAAGAAGGUGGAGGUGGGGGGGAAGGUGGUCGAGUGUGUAAGAGGGCAAUGAAUCCUCGUAGGAGGUUAAUCUAUGCUCCACAUUCCGGGAAAGGGUGUAGAUCUUGCUGGGCUGUCCCCAUGUCCACAACGGGUCUCCAAGGUGAACAGUCACAUCUGGGGGCCCGUCUCCAUCCUCCUGGGAACCUAUCAGUGUGGAGGGGGCAAGGCCUGGUCUGAUUGUGUGUGGAGCCAGUUGGGAGGGGAGGCUUCCUCAGAGACCCUGGUCCAGGCCUUCCCACCUCCUGCCCCCUCACGCCGUCAUCGCCCAUCCUGGAUUAAAGGGUGGACGAUGUGAACCCAGUCUCCGGAGCUGUCUUCUGCUUGGUCUGCGUGAGGAAGAUGGAGGGUCUUCCUUAGGACCUUGCUACUUCCUUGUGUGAACUGAAGUUUGGCCCUCGCCAUCUGCCUCUACGUGGAGUAAAACGGGAGCCACCACGGCUGCAGCCAAACGGCAGCAUCCCCUGAGCAGAGCUCAGGGUGGAGACCAGAAGUGAGGCACUCUGUGUUCUGGGAAAACUGGAAGAAUGGGUUUUCAAAGAGUAGGAUCUUUUUAGGAGAAGAUUUUAUGAGCCCAACUCUUGCAUCUCCUCAUAUCUAGAAAAACACUAAAAUCCAUCAGCAAUGACUAAUGUCUGGGACUAGUAUCAACCUUCACAAGACCAGCAGCAAACUUCUGCAAAAUGUGUGCCAGGCUGCAUGCACCUCCUCCUUCACCUUUAUGAUUUGUAUCUAGAUAUUUCCCCUUUCCUCGCAGGGCAGUAUUUCAGAGCUAUCUGAGAUACUGCCUCCUGGGCUGCAGUUAAGUUGAUGAAACAAAAGAUGUCACGGUCAUUGUGAGAACAGCCACUCCCAAGGGUGGGUCAGUGAGCCCUGAGGAGACUCAGGAAAGAAACAAGACUGGCCCACAGCUGAGGUGCCUGUCAAUGGAGUCAUUCCAGUAAGGCCAGGCCCUGACAUCUUCCCAUAGAAACUGAUUUUCUAUAAAUCUUUUUCUCCAAAUCUGAUCAUUUGUAAAUCUUUUGUUCUUACUGGCAAAACUCACACAUCCUAGCUCCCCCCUGGCCUCCUCAGAGCGGGGUUUUUUUCAGGGCUACCUGAGAUGCUGUUUCCCCGAGCUGAAGCCCUAAUUUCACCCUCCUCCCCAAUAAAACCUAACCCUCACCUUUCAGGUUGUGACUUUUUUUAAGUCAACACUUGCAUUCAGAGUUGAAGUCAAACCAUGCGCCCAACGACCUGACUCUUUGCUUCAUGGCACCGGCUCCUUUCUGGACUUGGCUCUGCUGUCGCUCCUCCCUCAGUUUCAAGCGAGCAGAGGGUGGAGAAAUUUGAGCACCAGCAGUGCAGGGGGACGGGAGGAGGGCAACGUUGGCCUCUUGCUCCCCCCCAGAGUUGCCAUCCCUGUGCCCACAAGGGUGUCCUCGUACCCAGCAUGGUGCCUGGCAACUAGUGUGUGGUCAGGACAUCACCCUGAUGUGAUGUGCCUACUGAGUGCCAGGAUCUCUGAGGUCCACACCCCCCCAUGGUUUUGAAGCCCAGGAUUUGAGGGGGGCAGGAGCCACAAGCCCAGGAGGAGGUGACCAGCUCACCCCCCACAGGGUACCUGAUCCAGCACUUUCCAGGAGGUCACCAGUGUGCUGACGGGUGUGUGGCUCAGGUGAUCUGUCUUGAAAGUGGAGGGGGGGCGGUGCGCAGGAGAGGCAUUGCCUCUGUUCUACCGCCUGUGAUCUGAGCUGGCCUCUUGCUGGAAACAGCUGACUUUUCUUAUCACAGAGCUUGGCCGCCAUUGGGGAAUUUCGGGAGGAAGAGGGGCAGGUCCGGAAAGGAGACCGCCCACCACUCAUUGUUUCCUGAGACCCAAACACAAAGGAGGUGAUGCUGCAGGGGGGUUGUUUUUUCCCUUAAGAACGAGCCAGCCCCAGUCGGAAAAGGGAGGCCGUUAUCCUUUUCAUCUAGUGCUUUGUUCCUUCUAGAACGUCUGAAUGUAUGUGGAGUUUCAGCAGCUGCAGAUGGGGAGGGGAGAAGGGCAGAGUCUGCACGCAAGAGUGGCAGGCAGGUGGGUGCAGCCAGUGGGGCCCAGAUUGAAUCAAACCCCUGUGAUUCAGGCAUUUUCAGCCUCAUGGGAGAGAAGCAGCUCAGAGAGGCCAAGGGGCUUACCCAGGGUCACACAGCAUGUGCUGAUGGGGCUGUGAUUUGAAUCCGGGCCUCUGUGACUCCAAGCCCUGUUAAAUCUCCCUGGAUGGGAGGAACAGCUGGAUAUACUCCAGCCUGCCUCCCCGUCUAGUUCUGGAUCAUUCCAGGCCUUUCCUCCAUCAGAGCUUGCCAUUUCCACGUCCCAGCCUCAGGGGGCCUGCCUUCUGCUGUGUAUGCUGCUGGGUCGGUGAGAGGGUGGCUUCUGAGUCAGGGAGUUUGGGUGACAGUGUCUCUUUGGGUGGGGCCAUGAGAGCCCAGCCCCAGGGGAGAGGGGAAGGCUUUUUACUGGGAACCCAGAACAGCGGCGGCAAAGUCAGUGCAGAGAGCUGGAGGGGAAGCUGCCACUAAGGGUCCCCUGAUUCCCUCAGUCACGGCUGCUUGUCCUUGGCCCUGUGUCAGCUCUGUGCUCUUGCAGGGAAAGCCACGGGGAUCCCAUGCCCUGUGCCCACCCUCUCCCCACUGCUCCCAGAAGGGGCCCUUCCUGAGCCUGCCCAGAAGGGUGGCCUGAGGUGGCCCCCCGCUGUAAAUGACCCCUGGGAGCCACAGGCCCAAGGUCCCUGCCAGGAAGAAAAAGAGCUCGUUUUCCUCCCAGGAAACCAAAGAACCAAAGCUCAGGCCAGAAUCCAGUUCACAGGUUUCACAGAUCACCUGUUAGAAGCAGGGUCCAGAAAUGGGGGAACAGCCACCUCACACCUCUUAGGAUGGCUACUAUGAAAAAGCAGAAAAUAGGAGUUCCCAUUGUGGCUCAGUGGGUUAAGAACCCAACCUAGUGUCUGUGAGGAUGUGGAUUCCACACCUGAACUUGUUCAGUGGGCUAAGGAUCUGGUGUUGCUGCAAGCUGUGGCCUAGGUCACAGAUGCGGCUCGGAUUGGGGUGUUGCUGUGUCUGUGGUAUAGGCCGGCAGCUGCUGUUCUGAUUUGACCCCUAGCCUGGGAACCUCCAUAUGCCAGGGGUGUGGUCCUAAAACAAAACAAAACAAACAAACAAAAACAGAAAAUAAGUCUUGGCGAGGAUGUGGAGAAACUGGAAUCUUGUGCACAGUUGGCGUGAACGUAAAAUGGUGCAGCCAUUGUGGAAGAACGCAUGGAGCUUCCUCAAGAAGGUAAACAUAGAACUCUAUGUGAUUGCAGCUCCACUUCUGUGUAUAAACCCUAAAGAUUUGGAAGCGGGAUCUCAAAGAGCUAGUGCAUGUCCAUGCCCCUAGUAGCAUUAUCCAUUGAAGGGUGAAUGCAUAACCCAAAUGUUUUAUACAUAUAACAGAAUAUUGUUCAGCCGAAAAACAAAGGAAAUUCUGGGAGUUCCUUGGUGGUCUAAUGGUUAGGAUUCAGCACUUUCACUGCUGUGGCCCAGGUUCGAUCUCUGGUCUCGGAACUGAGGUUCCACAUCGAGCCACUGCACAUCAGGCCAAAAAAAUUUUUAAAAAGGUAGGGGGGUGGAAUUCUGACAUAGGCUACAGUGUGGAUGAACCUCAAGGACUUUAAGUGGAGUGAAAUAAGCCAGUCACCAAAAGAUAGACACCGUAUGGCUGCAUUUACAUGCGGGCUCUAGAAGAGUCAGAUUCAUGCUGAUCCCCAGGUGCUGGGGCGCGGGGGUGGAGAAGGUAUGGGGAAUUAUUUAACGUACAGAAUUUCAAUUUGGGGAGUUCCCGUCGUGGUGCUGUGGUUAACGAAUCCGACUAGGAACCAUGAGGUUGCGGCUUCAAUCCCUGCCCUUGCUCAGUGGGUUAAGGAUCCAGCAUCACCAUGAGCUGUGGUGUAGGUUGCAGACGCAGCUCGGAUCCCGCGUUGCUGUGGCUCUGGUGUAGGCCGGUGGCUACAGCUCCGAUUCGAUCCCUAGCCUGGGAACCUCCAUGUGCCGCAGGAGCGGCGCAAGAAACGGCAAAAAGACCAAAAAAAAAAAAAAAAAAACAAAAAAA
rnacentral:lncRNA from 9 species